rnacentral:rRNA from 1 species
AUGGAGAGGACUAGCCUUUGGAGCAGGCUAGAUAUGUUAUUGGAUAUUGAAGGAUUUGGAGCAGGCUGCAUUUUCUAUGACAGACUGGUUAUGCAUGGAUUUGAAUGUUGCUCGACAGGAGGAGUGCAGGAACCACCGGCCACCCCUUCUCCCUCGUCCUCAGGCCUCAACGCCGCUGCUGACGCCUCCGGGAGCUUGGAAGGUAUCGGCGACGACGCCCACAAGGCCGUGAUUGUAAAGGAGAUGAAAUGCACAUGUAUAUCCUUGAUAAAGAUCUCUGUAAUUUUAUAUGAGCUCACGAGGACAGUGCUGUUGCAUCUAAAUCGACAAGUUGUUGAAUAA